rnacentral:rRNA from 1 species
AUGGGGCCCCCAGGAAGUUUUGUUGAGGGGGCGUCUGGCCCUGGUCUCCGGCCGCGGGGUGGUUUCCGCGGUCAUCGUGGUGGGCGUGGGGGUCGAGGUGGCCGGUACCGCCCACGACCGCAUACUACGUCUGUGAUUGAUCCGAUGGUGGUUGAUGGGGCUGUUGAGCAGCAGGUUUUGACUGGCCAAGCAUUGGAGGUGGUCUCGGCGCUUGCCAAUGCUGAGAUUCCCGGGAAUGAAUCCGGGUUGACUGUGUCAGUGGAGGAUUCUUCUAGGGCUGAGUCUGAAAGAGCAUCCAAAUAUGCGCGCAAGAAAGAGAAAAUGCUUUGUUAUCGAUGUGGUGGUAAGGGACAUUUUAUUGCUGAGUGUGUGGCUGAGCUGUGUGGCACUUGUGUCAAACCAGCACACGAUUCGGGGGACUGUCCAUUUCUGAGAGAUCAGGCACCAUCACUCAUGAUGCAUGGAGUGUACUGUGCUGAACUUACGUUCUUUGAAUCUCCAACGGAGAUGGAGGUUCCUGACGAGACUUUGAGUUUGACGACUGGGUUAGUUAAGAUUGCUAGAGGAGAGGUCUUGGAGGCACAGAUUAUUCAGAGGCUCAAGGAGUUAGCCCCUGGGGAUUUCAGGUGGGAGCUUGCUAGUGUCGAGGACAAACUGUUUCUGGUUGAGUUCCCGUCAGUUGAGGAACUUCAGAGACUACUGAGUUUCGGGAUGUGCAAGGUGCCAGGUACUGAUGGCAUGCUUGAGUUUCACGAGUGGAAGAGGAUUGAGCCUACGGGCAAGCCUCUGACUCAGGUUUGGCUGCGAUUCUCUGGGGCUCCAUCCAAGCUGAUGCGGGAUGCACGGGUAGUGGCCAGUUUGGGUAUCAUGGUGGGCAGACCAGAGCGCAUGGAUAUGGACUUUACCAGAGCCCACGGGAUUGCCCGUUUACUGGUCAGUGUGCUGAACAUCGAGUACGUCCCUGAGGUGGUUAAGUGGGCAUAUCGAGGCCACAUAUAUAACCUUGUCAUUGAGUUCGAGGAUGAGAGUCUGUUUGCCGAGGCGGCCAACGGGUCUGAUACUGAUAUGCACGAGGAUGAUGAUAGUUCGGCACUUAAGGAGGCACCAACAGCUGACAGUGGGCGUGAGUUGUCCACUCCGCAGGGUGCUGACUCUCACACGUCUGUGGAUGUGACGGCUCCUCCUUCUACAGUGCCUACGACUAUUCUCAGAUUCAGUUCUUUCGAGCCGGCAUCUGCACCCCCGAGACUAUGGAGUGAUCGGGUGGAGUCUGAUGAGGUGUUCGAGCACUCGCUCCCAGUUCUGGAGCUUGAGGAGCCAGUGAUUCCUCUUCUUGGGGAGUUGUCGAUCUCGGUCAGGGCUGAGGCGGAGGAGGUCGUUCUUGUAGGAGAGGGUCUGAAGCUGGUGACUUCGGAUUCCUCCCCUCUGGUCGCGAUUUCGCAGGUGCAGCCGAUGGUGCCGGCUGCUGAUGGGGGUGUGGGGCAGGUGGCCUCGGUGCCCUCAUCAGGGCCUGCGGUGGGUGAGCUACCGAUGGUGCAGAUUGAUUCUUUGGGAGGGAGGCCGAGGCUGCUAGAUCCGGCACCUUCUUCCCCUUUUACCGGGCCGGCGACGCUGGCGCCGGAGUCGCUUCUCGGAGAGGACUCGGGGAAGGUGGCCUCGGGGUCCUCUUCUCUUGUGGAGCCCAAAGGGGCUUGCUCGCCGAUGCCGCUGGUGCCGCCAGUUGGCCCUUGGGCCGGGGUGGAUGGGGAGCUCGGGCAGGAGGCCCUGGCUCCACCUUCCCCCGGCUUGGGGCACUCCAGUAGAGCUUCUCGGGAGGAGGUGAUUUCUUUCGGUGGUAUUCCGGAUCCGGUCUCUGAGGGGCAACGGUUGAGUAGCUGUUUCCAGGACCAUCCGAAAGUGGACGACAUUCAGCAGCGGUGCGCUAUGAGGGCGGCCAAGCUUCAUGACGUGGAGGUCACUACUGGUUUUAUUUCGGGCUACUGCGCUAAUCCGUAUGUGGUCCUUACUCACUCCGACGGAGGCCAGGGAGCGUUUGGUUACUGGAUCUGUCCGGUGGGAGAUGGUAGCACGGGAUAUCUUCAACCGGUUUAG